rnacentral:rRNA from 1 species
UAUAAGCUGCUUAUACUGUGAAACUGCGAAUGGCUCAUUAAAUCAGUUAUAGUUUAUUUGAUGGUACCUUACUACUCGGAUAACCGUAUAGGUUCUAAUGCGGUUGAAAGGGGUCGGCGCGAGCUGGCCUCUAGUAGAACACUACCGGUUCUUUACAGCUUGCUGUGGAGGCUGCCGGUCGCGGUUUUGCGACACUGUCAAAUUGCUCGGAAGCCCUGUAAARAGCUGAGUACCGCCCCUAUUGGGAAACCUGUAGGGGCACCCAGUCGAAAAGGCUGGGGUAUGGUAACAAUCUCUGCUAUAGGGGCAAUGAGCAGCCAAGCCCUAAGGGUGAAAAUCCUACGGGUGCAGUCCACAGACUAAAUGGCAGUGGGUGUCAGUCAAGGAGGACAACUCCUUUCGACUGAUGCUUAAGAUAUAGUCGGUCCCCACUGAGAGGUGGACUCGAGGAGGAAGGGUUCGCCCCGAGAGCCUCGAGUGGUAGUUGGCUUUAAAAGCGCCUGGGGUGACCCAGUGUGCCGGCCCCCUUGUAUACGGGAUGCCGUGCCCUACCGGAGCAAACGAGUAAACCUAGAGCUAAUACGUGCGCACAUCCCGACUUCUGGAAGGGACGUAUUUAUUAGAUAAAAGACCGACCGGCUUCGGCCGCCCCUCGGUGAAUCAUGAUAACUUCACGAAUCGCACGGCCUUGUGCCGGCGAUGUUUCAUUCAAAUUUCUGCCCUAUCAACUUUCGAUGGUAGGAUAGAGGCCUACCAUGGUGGUAACGGGUGACGGAGAAUUAGGGUUCGAUUCCGGAGAGGGAGCCUGAGAAACGGCUACCACAUCCAAGGAAGGCAGCAGGCGCGCAAAUUACCCAAUCCCGACACGGGGAGGUAGUGACAAGAAAUAACAAUACUGGGCUCUUUCGAGUCUGGUAAUUGGAAUGAGAACAAUCUAAACCCCUUAUCGAGGAUCCAUUGGAGGGCAAGUCUGGUGCCAGCAGCCGCGGUAAUUCCAGCUCCAAUAGCGUAUAUUUAAGUUGCUGCAGUUAAAAAGCUCGUAGUCGGUUUUCGGGCGGGCUGCGCCGGUCUGCCUUUGGUAUGCACUGGCGCGCCCCGCUUUUCUGUCGGGGACGGGCUCCUGGGCUUUACUGUCCGGGACCCGGAGUCGACGCUGUUACCCAUUCAGGUUGGCAGCUAAAAGUCACUCGGAAACGAGUGGCUAGUGAGUCGGGGACCCCAUCCCUAGACCCGCGACACCGUCGAAUUGCGGGAACAUCCUUUAGAGCCCCACCUACCAAGCUGUAUGCCGAAAGGCGCAGUGGCCAGGGUAAUGACCUCGGGUAUGGUAAUAACGGUGGGGAUUGGACAAUCCGCAGCCAAGCCCCUAAGGGAGCUAACGUUCCUAUGGGGAAGGUUCAGAGACUAAGUGGCGGUGGGCCCCUCUAAACGAGGGGGCUUAAGAUAUAGUCCAGCCCUGUGGAAACACAGCCUGGGGAGGAAAGACUGUACAGACAGAGACCCUGUUUCUGCCGGGGCAGCACAGUCUGGAGCUCCAGGAGCCGCCUGCUUCAGGCAGCGGUGGGAACACCUGUACCUUGAAUAAAAUGGAGUGUUCAAAGCAGGCAUACGCUCUGAACAUAUUAGCAUGGAAUAACGAUAUAGGACUCUGGCCUAUUUCGUUGGUCUGUGGGACCGGAGUAACGACCAAUGGGGGCAGUCGGGGGCAUUCGUAUUUCGUUGUCAGAGGUGAAAUUCUUGGAUUUACGAAAGACGAACUGCUGCGAAAGCGUUUGCCAAGGAUGCUUUCGUCGAUCAAGAACGAAAGUUGGGGGCUCGAAGACGAUUAGAUACCGUCCUAGUCUCAACCAUAAACGAUGCCGACUAGGGAUCGGCGGAUGUUCUUUCGAUGACUCCGCCGGCACCUCAUGAGAAAUCAAAGUGUUUGGGUUCCGGGGGGAGUAUGGUCGCAAGGCUGAAACUUAAAGGAAUUGACGGAAGGGCACCACCAGGCGUUAAAUAGCUCUAGCGCCUAUAGAGUGCGGGCUCCAACCCCGUGCUAGUGGAUGCGUGCUCUGAUGCACGCCCGCGACACCGUCAAAUUGCGAGGAAGCCCUAAAGCUCGAACGUACCAAGGCAGGCGUGGAAACAGCUUGCUGGCCCCAGGUAAUGCUGGGGGUAUGGUAACAACCGUUUGAGAUGAUCUGCACAGCAGUGAAAUGGGUUAUUCGCAGCCAAGCCCUAAGGGCAUCGCUCCCCCGCAAGGUGGCAGCGAUCCUACGGGUGCAGUCCACAGACUAAAUGGCGGUGGGCAUGCCUUUGCCCCGUUGGGGAAAGGUCUGCUUGAGAUAUAGUCGAGACCACUCCAAACGGAGUGCCUUUGGGAGGAAGCUGCACGCUCGUUGGAGCGUGCCGAGAGCCCAAAGGGGGUGGGGUAAUAGCGUGUUGGGCAACCAACCCGCGGGUUUCUCACAGCUGUGGGAGAUACCCCCCGCCCGAAAUGAACGGGAGCCUGUGGCUUAAUUUGACUCAACACGGGAAAACUUACCAGGUCCAGACAUAGUGAGGAUUGACAGAUUGAGAGCUCUUUCUUGAUUCUAUGGGUGGUGGUGCAUGGCCGUUCUUAGUUGGUGGGUUGCCUUGUCAGGUUGAUUCCGGUAACGAACGAGACCUCAGCCUGCUAAAUAGUCACGUCCGGUUUUCCGGUCGGCCGACUUCUUAGAGGGACUAUUAGCGUCUAGCUAAUGGAAGCAUGAGGCAAUAACAGGUCUGUGAUGCCCUUAGAUGUUCUGGGCCGCACACGCGCUACACUGACGCGAUCAGCGAGCCUAGCCUUGGCCGAGAGGUCCGGGUAAUCUUGCAAACCGCGUCGUGAUGGGGAUAGAUUAUUGCAAUUAUUAAUCUUCAACGAGGAAUGCCUAGUAAGCGCAGGUCAUCAGCCUGCGUUGAUUACGUCCCUGCCCUUUGUACACACCGCCCGUCGCUCCUACCGAUUGGGUGUGCUGGUGAAGCGUUCGGAU